GUGGGGAAUUUUGGACAAUGGGCGCAAGCCUGAUCCAGCCAUGCCGCGUGCGGGAAGAAGGCCUUCGGGUUGUAAACCGCUUUUGUCAGGGAAGAAAAGGUUCGAGCUAAUACCUCGGACUAAUGACGGUACCUGAAGAAUAAGCACCGGCUAACUACGUGCCAGCAGCCGCGGUAAUACGUAGGGUGCAAGCGUUAAUCGGAAUUACUGGGCGUAAAGCGUGCGCAGGCGGUUAUGCAAGACAGAUGUGAAAUCCCCGGGCUCAACCUGGGAACUGCAUUUGUGACUGCAUGACUUGAGUACGGUAGAGGGGGAUGGAAUUCCGCGUGUAGCAGUGAAAUGCGUAGAUAUGCGGAGGAACACCGAUGGCGAAGGCAAUCCCCUGGACCUGUACUGACGCUCAGGCACGAAAGCGUGGGGAGCAAACAGGAUUAGAUACCCCGGUAGUCC
rnacentral:rRNA from 1 species